AGGUUAAUAUUCCUGCACCGUCGUAUGAUGCGAUGGGGGGACGGAUCGCGGAAGGUUGUCCAACUGUUGGAAUAGUUGGUUUCUGUCUCAUAGAAGGCGCUUAGGCAAAUCCGGGCGCGGAAUUCAAGGGGAUGGGACGAGUGAACUUGUUCACGAAGCAAUCGGAAGUGGUUCCAAGAAAAGCCUCUAAGCUUCAGUCAUACGAGACCGUACCGCA
rnacentral:rRNA from 1 species